rnacentral:misc_RNA from 1 species
GUUACAAAUUAAAGUUUAAGGACUUUACUGUUACAAUUAAGUUUAGAGAAUGAGUAAAGUUUAUCCGAAAUCUAUGUGGUUAAAAAGAUUGUGUUGUUUCUAGUUUGUGAUAAAUAAAAUGCCUUUUUAUGAACUUCACUAGGAAGAACUUUAUGAUGCCCUUGUAUUUCUCUUCAAAUUUUCAUUAAGCAUCUAUUGCUUGGUUUUGUCAGCUUGUUCCUCAUCUAGUCCUGCAUACAACUGUGCCUACUCGAUGAAUUCCGGCCUCUUUGAUUUUUAAUAAAAACUAUUUGAUUUGGCUGCUGACUCCUUCCUCCUCUCCCUCCUUGCUUUUAGUUGAAGACAUCUCUGUAGUGAUACUAUAUGCGUAUCAAAGAAAUUGUUUAUAUCUGGAUAUUUAUGGUCAUGCAGGCAUGAAGCAGAAACUCGUCCAUAAUUUUGUUUUAUUAGCAUUCUAUAUUGCAUUUUAAUUUAAGCAGAAAACUGAUGUGCAUGCAUUUUUUAUCUGAAAUAUAAAUUAACGUUCAAUGUCUCAUAUACAGCUAUUCUUCUUUUAGAUUGGUAAGAGAGAAUAGAGUUGGUUCUGCGGGACUCUGUGCGAUUGUGGUGUAGCAAGGUUUAUGUUUUGAUGAUACCUUUAGGUUUUUAGACUGCUCCUGUGAAAAGUUGGAUAAAAUCCUAGUUUAAAGGGAAACCAGUAUUAGUGCAUUGCUAUCUUGGGUUACUGUUGAAUGCUUGUACUUGGAAGGGACCCUUUCUGUUUACAUUUUGAUCGUUUACUCUGCUUCCUCCUACACCUCUCUGUGCAUAAGAUUUGGUGGUGAACUGUGAUGAAUCUGGGAAUAUCUCCCUAACUUCAAGUGUGCUUCAGGGAUUCAUUAGAAAUCAAGUUUCAUGAAUGACAUUAGACAAUCAUGCUGACACGAAAAAUCAAUUGGUGUUGACAUACUGAUCAGAUUUGUGUGAACCACUUUUUGGAUGAAUGAUUCUAACAAUUGUUGCAAAGUUAAAUCUUAUAUUGCACUGAUUAAAUCUUAUAUUGCACUAACUUUUGGUAAAUCUACCAUCUUCUUGUGGAAUUUUUAUGCUGGUCUUGAUCUGCAAAUUCAAAAGAAUAAUGCUCGGCAUUGUUGAGUCUAAUUUGUGGUUGAAGUCAUAAAAAGUUAAAAGGCAACACAUAGCUAGCCAUUGUAGAAUCUCUUUGAAUUUUGCAGCAGAGAUUCAUUAUUUUGUUGAAUGCCGAAGAAUACCCAUGUUUUGAUUUUUCACUUUUCAUUUUGUCCUGUAAAUGAUGGAACCAACUCUGUUAUUACCUGUGUUUUGAUUUUCAUCUUUUCUUUCAUCCUGUAAAUUAUUGUAACAAUUCUGUUUGCUAUGCUAUGACACAAUCUCUGCAGUU